rnacentral:lncRNA from 1 species
UUUAGAGAGUUAGACGGCCGUUCGUUGGGAGGAGUAAUAAAUAAGUUUUAAUUGUUGGAGUCUCAGUUGUUAACCGGAGAAGAUGGGAAGACGCUAUGGUUGGGCGGCGCUGUAUCGUGGGAUUUUUAGGUUAGAGGAAGAGGAAAUUAUAUGAGAUGUUGGCUUACAAAUGAAUCUGUAAAACAAAUAGGCCAUCUACUAUAAAUAAAAGGAACUAAAUUGGAGGCUUCUCAGUCUUGCUACAUAGGAUAAAAUAGGCCAAAUGAGUAAAGAUUUGUUUUAAUGUUAUUGGGUAACGAUGGUGUUGGUGUGCUGGGU